rnacentral:rRNA from 1 species
CAUGCAAGUCGAACGAGGAUAUAUCCUUCGGGAUAUAAGCCGAGUGGCGCAAGGGUGAGUAAUGCAUAGAUUACCUGCCUCUAGGAUAAGGACAACUUUGUAAAAACGAAGCUAAUACUUAAUAAUACAAAAGAAAAUAAUUUUCUUUUGUCAAUGGGAGGGUAGCAAUACCUUUUGCCUAGAGAGGGGUUUAUGUCCUAUCAGCUUGUUGGUGGGGUAAUGGCCUACCAAGGCGAAGACGGGUAGCCGGUCUUAGAGGAUGGUCGGCCACACUGGGACUGAGACACUGCCCAGACUUCUACGGAAGGCUGCAGUCGAGAAUCUUUCGCAAUGCCCGAAAGGGUGACGAAGCGACGCCGCGUGAGUGAGGAAGGCCUUAGGGUUGUAAAGCUCUGUCAGGAGUUAAGAAAUAUAAGUGUGUUAAUACCACGUUUAUUUGACGAAGGCUCCAAAGGAAGCCACGGCUAACUCUGUGCCAGCAGCCGCGGUAAUACAGAGGUGGCAAGCGUUGUUCGGAAUUAUUGGGCGUAAAGAGCACGUAGGUGGGUUUGUAAGUCAGAUGUGAAAGCCUUCUGUUCAACGGAAGAAUUGCAUCUGAAACUGCAAGUCUUGAGUGUAGGAGGGGAGAAUGGAACUUCUGGUGGAGCGGUGAAAUGCGUAGAUAUCAGAAGGAACGCCGGCGGCGAAAGCGAUUCUCUGGCCUAUUACUGACGCUCAGUGUGCGAAAGCUAGGGGAGCAAACAGGAUUAGAUACCCCGGUAGUCCUAGCCGUAAACGAUGGGCACUAAGUAGAGGGAAUUACCGAUGUUCUCUCUGCCGUAGCUAACGCAUUAAGUGCCCCGCCUGGGGAGUACGGCCGCAAGGCUAAAACUCAAAAGAAUUGACGGGGGCUCGCACAAGCGGUGGAGCAUGUGGCUUAAUUCGAUGCAACGCGAAAAACCUUACCGGGGCUUGACAUGGUAGAAGUAGGAACCCGAAAGGGUAACGAACGGUAUCCAGUCCAUAGCUAUCACAGGUGUUGCAUGGCUGUCGUCAGCUCGUGUCGUGAGACGUUGGGUUAAGUCCCCUAACGAGCGAAACCCUUGUUUUUAGUUACCAGCGGGUUAUGCCGGGUACUCUAGAAAGACUGCCGUCGUCAAGACGGAGGAAGGUGGGGAUGACGUCAAGUCAUCAUGGCCCUUAUGCCCCGGGCUGCACACGUGCUACAAUGGUCGGUACAAACGGAAGCGAAGCCGAGAGGUGAAGCGGAUCCUAAAAAGCCGAUCUCAGUUCGGAUUGGAGGCUAAAAUUCGCCUCCAUGAAGUUGGAAUCGCUAGUAAUCGCGGAUCAGCAAUGCCGCGGUGAAUAUGUUCCCGAGCCUUGUACACACCGCCCGUCAAGCCACCCAAGCAGGAUGCACCCGAAAACAUUAUAUCUAACCAGGGCAACUUGGAGGAAAGUGUUGAAGGAGUGUUUUGUGAGGAGGACUAAGUCGUAACAAGGUAGUCGUAGGAGAACCUGCGGCUGGAUCACCUCCUUUCU